UACGGAGGAUCCAAGCGUUAUCCGGAUUCAUUGGGUUUAAAGGGCGCGUAGGCGGCUCAUGAAGGCUGUGGUGAAAGUCCGGGGCUCAACCUCGGAUCGGCCGUGGCGACUCGUGGGCUGGAGCACUGUAGAGGCGGGUGGAAUUCCGGGUGUAGCGGUGGAAUGCGUAGAGAUCCGGAAGAACACCGGUGGCGAAGGCGGCCUGCUGGGCAGUAGCUGACGCUGAGGCGCGACAGCGUGGGGAGCAAACAGG
rnacentral:rRNA from 1 species